UACGUAGGGUCCGAGCGUUGUCCGGAGUUACUGGGCGUAAAGCGCGCGUAAGCGGCGGUGCUGGCCCGGCGUGAAAGCCCCCGGCUCAACCGGGGAGGGUCGUCGGGGACCGCACCGCUUGAGGGCGGUAGGGGCUGGUGGAAUGCCUGGUGUAGUGGUGAAAUGCGUAGAGAUCAGGCGGAACACCCGUGGCGAAGGCGGCCAGCUGGGCCGUCCCUGACGCUGAGGUGCGAAAGCCAGGGUAGCGAACGGG
rnacentral:rRNA from 1 species